UACAGAGGGUGCGAGCGUUAAUCGGAAUUACUGGGCGUAAAGCGCGCGUAGGCGGCUUUGCAAGUCGGGUGUGAAAUCCCCAGGCUUAACCUGGGAACUGCAUUCGAGACUGCAUUGCUAGAGUAUGGGAGAGGGAGGUGGAAUUUCCGGUGUAGCGGUGAAAUGCGUAGAUAUCGGAGGGAACAUCAGUGGCGAAAGCGACUUCCUGGACCAAUACUGACGCUCAUGUGCGAAAGCGUGGGGAGCAAACAGG
rnacentral:rRNA from 1 species